rnacentral:lncRNA from 1 species
AAGAUCACACCACUACGCUCCAGCCUGGGUGAGACAGUGAAACUCCAUCUCAAAAAGAAAAAAGAAUGGAGAGUCAAGGGACUUAUAUGGUAGUAAGAUUUCUACAUUCCACUUGAGGGUAGCCAACAAGAUGUAAGCAGAAGUCUUAUGGUGUGGCUUCUGGGAAACCUCUCCAAAGGUAACAGACUAAGAUGGGAGGCAGGUGCUUUUUCUCUUCUACCUUCCUUUUCUUUCAAGACUGGAAAGUAAAUAUGAUGGCUGGAGCUACAGAAGCAAUUUUACAAUAAAGAAGUAACUUUAAGGAGCCUGAAACAGUGAUUCCAUUGCGAUGUCAUCAUACCAGCCCUAGACUACUUACCUACCUACCUCCAAAUUCUCUUAUAUUAAAUCAUUAUUAUAGUUUCAUUUCUUCUCCAAGCAGCUAAAUGCCAUUCCUAACUCAAUGUUUCCUCAACUUUCC